AACUUUUGGCAAUGGAUCACUUGGCUCUCGCAUCGAUGAAGAACGCAGCGAAAUGCGAUACGUAAUGUGAAUUGCAGAAUUCAGUGAAUCAUCGAAUCUGUGAACGCACCUUGCGCCCUUUGGUAUUCCGAGGGGCACACCCGUUUGAGUGUCGUGACAUUCUCAAAUCCUUCUCGGUUUCUCGACCGGGAAGGCUUUGGACUUUGGAGGCUUUUGCUGGCAUUCCUUUGUUGGAGCCAGCUCCUCUGAGAUGAAUUAGUGGGGUCUGCUUUGCCGAUCCUUGACGUGAUAAGAUGUUUUCUACGUCUUGGGUUUUAGCACUCCUGCUUCUAACCGGCUCACAGUAGACAAAUGGUCCACUCGACCCACAAACCUUGACCUCAAAUCGGGUGAGACUACCCGCUGAACUUAAGCAUAUCAAUAAGCGGAGGCU
rnacentral:misc_RNA from 1 species